CAUCUUGCCCAGGGAGCGAUUUCGGGGACCAGGAGGGACUGAUAACAGAGUGCGGUAGUACGAGGAUACGUGGAGUAGGAGAAACUUGCAGAGAAUCGGAGAAAACCGGCAAGUAAAGAAACAAACAGCCUGGUUCCUCUUCUGCUUCUGCGACGUCAUAGCGCCUGAUUGGCGUGUCGUAGUGACGUUCCAAACCCGAUUAACUGCCAGUGUGUAGCCUCUGUUGGGUCUGACUUCUGCGUAACGUGACACGGGUCACGUGAUCAGUACCUCUCCUUUACUGUUGUGGAGCUUUGUGUGUGUGGGCUGAAGGGCACCAAGGAAGAAAAGGACACUGGUGGGGGGGAGAAAACAGGAAAAAUGUGUUGAAAGUAUUGUCUGUGGCCAUCAAUGUAUUCAAUAUAUAAUGCAAACUUGAUUUCUGUCUUGUUGCUGGUUUUUUUUUAUUGUUUAUUAUCUUUGUGACACUCUCUAAGUAAAGGGCAUGCAUAGUG